rnacentral:lncRNA from 1 species
CCUGAGACUGUGUCUGUGGAAGCACUCUGAAAAUGCUAAACAACUGCAUAAAUAAGGGGUGUCAUUAACAUCGUCAUUCAGUAGCUCACCUGGUUAAAACAUGGUUUCCUGAAGGUAAGCCAGCUCUCUCUCCUUUCAUUCAAUCCAUCCCACAGAGGUUCUUCUAGUGCCUAUUUUAUCCAAGAUAGAACUUUUCCCCCACUUUCUUGGUAACUUGGGUAGGAUUUCUUUUCCAAUGUUUAUUGUGUAAAUUGGUAGACAUUUUUUAAAAAGUGCAAUGUCCACUCCGUGCUUAUUUCUGUCUCAAAGAGAUGUGGUCAAAUAGUGAAGCAGGAGACACGCUUGAGCACACUGCUGCAAAGGUGGAAGGCCAGAGCACAAUCCCUACCCGCAUCUCCCCCCAGAAAGCAGUCUUCUGCUACCCUCAGGCUAGGAGAGACAGAAAGGAAAGCCUAGAGGGGGUGCAGCAAAACGGUCAGUGAAGAGAACAUGAGUAACUGUAUACAACCUCUCAGAUCCCAACGAUCAGUAUUAUAAUAAAUAGAUUUACUUACAUGAAAGCAGCUUAAAGCAAAUCUCCUUUAAUUUAGCCUGUGGUCCAUUCAGCAAAGAAACAUUUCUUCCAUUUUUAGAAGCUUCUGAUGGAGAUUUAUAGAUACUGUUUCCAGAGGAAAAAUAAAAGGCAAGUGAUUCUCGGGGAAGAGAGGAAAAACACAAAAUUUUUAAAUGAUUUAGCUGUACAGCAGGUUAUGAAGGAAGGAAAAGGAAGAGAUUAAAAUGGUUCUUUCCCUCCUCCCUCUGUGACUCAGAGAUUCAUCCUAAAAAUAAUUUUCAUUCCAGUUUGGGGAAGCUGAGCAAAGACUCACGUCUCCACAUUCCAAGUUCCAUGAUGGCCUUGGAGAGGGAGGGAACCAAAGGAAGAGGAAAAUGGGAAACAGUAACUAUUAAAGGUAAUCUGGAAAAGACUUUAUCUACUCAGAAGAGGUGAGGUGAAAUUAAAGGCCAGGCUAGCUGUAAUGAAGCAAGCAUUUUCUGUUCUUGCCCUAGUCUGAGGUAUGUCGUGUCAGCAAGGAUGAAGCCUCAACUUGCCUUUCAGCCUUAUUUCCUACCAGCUCUUCUGGUGAUCAGUGUUUUACUCAUUCAAAUGAAUUUUUGUCUUCUAACAUCAUUCCCCUUUCUUGUUUUUUUUUUAAUUUUUAUUUUUUAACUUUAUUAUUAUUAUUUUUUUAGGUAUAAUUGGUCAUUCCUCUUUCUUUGUAUCAGCAGCAGAAGGUUCUUGUUUAGGUGUUUCUUUAGUCACAUUUAAUUGAUAUUAGUAUGUUCAUUUUAAAAAGAUUUUCAUUUUUAAGGUAUUUCACACUUACAGAAAAGUUGUUCACGUAGCAUACUGAACUCUUUUUUUUUUUUUUUAACCUGAACAAUUGGAGAGUAACCUGACAUGAUACCUGUGGCAGAUAGCAAGAUGCAUUGACCAGAUGCCCUUCAAGGAAGGACUUGUUGCCCAGCCUUGGAGACUGUAGUCGGCACACAGCUGUCAACUUGCAUUUCCUUCAGGGUUUGCCUCAUCUGCAGAGAGCCAUCUUGCCCAAGGAGAUGCCCCUUUCCCAGGUGGCCCAAAUCCAAUGACUGAUAAUGGCAAGGAUAGAAAGGCCUGGCUAUUUUGG